AUUGAACGCUGGCGGCAGGACUAAUACAUGCAAGUCGAACGAGUGGCGGACGGGUGAGAAAUGUCUGGGAAACUGCCUGAUGGAGGGGGAUAAAUACUGGAAACGGUAGCUAAUACCGCAUACCAUUAGAUGUUCCAAGAGGGGAUUAGAUUGUUGGUAGGGUAACGGCUUACCAAGGCUACGAUCCCUAGCUGGUCUGAGAGGAUGACCAGCCACACUGGAACUUAGACACGGUCCAUACUCCUACGGGAGGCAGCAGUGGGGAAUCUUGCACAAUGGGCGAAAGCCUGAUGCAGCCAUGCCGCGUGUAUGAUGAAGGCCUUCGGGUUGUAAAGUACUGUCAGCGGGGAGGCGUUACCCGCACAAGAAGCACCGGCUAACUCCGUGCCAGCAGCCGCGGUAAUUC
rnacentral:rRNA from 1 species